AGUGAACGCUGGCGGCAGGCCUAAUACAUGCAAGUCGAACGGCAGCACAGUGGAGCUUGCUCCAUGGGUGGCGAGUGGCGGACGGGUGAGGAAUACAUGGGAAUCUGCCCAGUCGUGGGGAUAACGUAUGGAAACGUACGCUAAUACCGCAUGCGCCCUUCGGGGGAAAGUCGGGGACCGCAAGGCCUGACGCGAUUGGAUGAGCCCAUGUUCGAUUAGCUAGUUGGCGGGUAACGGCCCACCAAGGCGACGAUCGAUAGCUGGUCUGAGAGGAUGAUCAGCCACACUGGAACUGAGACACGGUCCAGACUCCUACGGGAGGCAGCAGUAGGGAAUAUUGGACAAAUGGGCGCAAGCCUGAUCCAGCCAUGCCGCGUGAGUGAAGAAGGCCCUCGGGUUGUAAAGCUCUUUGUU
rnacentral:rRNA from 1 species